UAAUAGAGGCAAAUGAUUCGAGUCUGAAACCAAUGUAAAUCCUAUUUCGUUAUUUUUCCUUCUUCAUGAGUUUUGUUCCCUUUGAUUUUGGUUCGACUGUAAUAGAGGCAAUUGAUUCGAGUCCGAAACCAAUGUAAAUCAUAUUUCGUUAUUUUCCCUUCUUCAUGAGUUUUGUCCCCUUUGAUUUUGGUGAUUAGUUGUCUAUGCUCAAAAUGUUCUCCAAGCAA
rnacentral:lncRNA from 1 species